rnacentral:rRNA from 2 species
GUGACAAUAAAUACUAAUACAGGUGGUUUUAUGCCUCUUGUAAUUGGAAUGAGUACAAUUUAAAUCUCUUAACGAGGAACAAUUGGAGGGCAAGUCUGGUGCCAGCAGCCGCGGUAAUUCCAGCUCCAAUAGCGUAUAUUAAAGUUGUUGCAGUUAAAAAGCUCGUAGUUGAACCUUGGACCUGSCCAACCGGUCUACCUCACCGUAUGCACUGGUUGGUCGGGUCUUUCCUUCUGGCAAACUGCAUGCCCUUCACUGGGUGUGUUUGGGAACCAGGACUUUUACUUUGAAAAAAUUAGAGUGUUCAAAGCAGGCAUUAGCUCGAAUACAUUAGCAUGGAAUAAUAGAAUAGGACGUGUGGUUCUAUUUUGUUGGUUUCUAGGACCACCGUAAUGAUUAAUAGGGAUAGUCGGGGG